GAUGAACGCUGGUGGCGUGCCUAAUACAUGCAAGUCGAGCGAACGGACGAGAAGCUUGCUUCUCUGAUGUUAGCGGCGGACGGGUGAGUAACACGUGGAUAACCUACCUAUAAGACUGGGAUAACUUCGGGAAACCGGAGCUAAUACCGGAUGAUAUUUUGAACCGCAUGGUUCAAAAGUGAAAGACGGUCUUGCUGUCACUUAUAGAUGGAUCCGCGCUGCAUUAGCUAGUUGGUAAGGUAACGGCUUACCAAGGCAACGAUGCAUAGCCGACCUGAGAGGGUGAUCGGCCACACUGGAACUGAGGCACGGUCCAGACUCCUACGGGAGGCAGCAGUAGGGAAUCUUCCGCAAUGGGCGAAAGCCUGACGGAGCAACGCCGCGUGAGUGAUGAAGGUCUUCGGAUCGUAAAACUCUGUUAUUAGGGAAGAACAUAUGUGUAAGUAACUGUGCACAUCUUGACGGUACCUAAUCAGAAAGCCACGGCUAACUACGUG
rnacentral:rRNA from 1 species